rnacentral:rRNA from 1 species
GUGAAAUUCCGUCGGAAUCUGGGAGGACCAUCUCCUAAGGCUAAAUACUCUCUAGUGACCGAUAGUGAACCAGUACCGUGAGGGAAAGGUGAAAAGCACCCCGGAAGGGGAGUGAAAUAGAACCUGAAACCGUGUGCUUACAAGUAGUCAGAGCCCGUUAAUGGGUGAUGGCGUGCCUUUUGUAGAAUGAACCGGCGAGUUACGAUUUGAUGCAAGGUUAAGCAGUAAAUGUGGAGCCGUAGCGAAAGCGAGUCUGAAUAGGGCGUUUAGUAUUUGGUCGUAGACCCGAAACCAGGUGAUCUACCCUUGGUCAGGUUGAAGUUCAGGUAACACUGAAUGGAGGACCGAACCGACUUACGUUGAAAAGUGAGCGGAUGAACUGAGGGUAGCGGAGAAAUUCCAAUCGAACCUGGAGAUAGCUGGUUCUCUCCGAAAUAGCUUUAGGGCUAGCCUCAAGUGAUGAUUAUUGGAGGUAGAGCACUGUUUGGACGAGGGGCCCCUCUCGGGUUACCGAAUUCAGACAAACUCCGAAUGCCAAUUAAUUUAACUUGGGAGUCAGAACAUGGGUGAUAAGGUCCGUGUUCGAAAGGGAAACAGCCCAGACCACCAGCUAAGGUCCCAAAAUAUAUGUUAAGUGGAAAAGGAUGUGGCGUUGCCCAGACAACUAGGAUGUUGGCUUAGAAGCAGCCAUCAUUUAAAGAGUGCGUAAUAGCUCACUAGUCGAGUGACACUGCGCCGAAAAUGUACCGGGGCUAAACAUAUUACCGAAGCUGUGGAUUGUCCUUUGGACAAUGGU